rnacentral:rRNA from 1 species
UACGAAGGGGGCUAGCGUUGCUCGGAAUCACUGGGCGUAAAGCGCACGUAGGCGGAUUGUUAAGUCAGGGGUGAAAUCCCAGAGCUCAACUCUGGAACUGCCUUUGAUACUGGCAAGCUAGAGUCCGGAAGAGGUAAGUGGAACUCCUAGUGUAGAGGUGGAAUUCGUAGAUAUUAGGAAGAACACCAGUGGCGAAGGCGGCUUACUGGUCCGGAACUGACGCUGAGGUGCGAAAGCGUGGGGAGCAAACAGG